UAUGUUUGCUUACGCUUCCCUGAUGAAGCUAACCCUCGCUGGUUCACCCUCUACCGCAAGAAACCUAAUCAAACCCUAACCAAGAAGAAGAAGAAGAAGAAGACGAAGAAAGAGGAUUCUUUAGCUGGUUGUUUUGUGGCACAGUUAUGUGCAGAGAUUUUGGUAUAAGAAGAAGACGAUUUGUUGUGCAGAGAUUUCACUUGAAAAACGCAACACUGAAGAGAUUUGGGGGAAAGUUGAGUGCCACGAUGCGGUUCUUACAUUCCCUGAGUCUUAUACAUUCGUGUGUGCUAUAUCCGCUACUGUUUGACAGAACGUUUGUAUAUGCGACUACUAUGAUGAAUCCUUGUCUUGUCUUGUGCUUUUAGCAGACAUUGGUUCACGUCUAGAUAUAUGCACUCACUUGUAGACUCAUUAAGCUUUACUUUGUCUCUGAAAGAUUACUUUUG